rnacentral:lncRNA from 1 species
GAGCACAACGUCGAAAGCAGCCGUUGGGAGCCCAGGAGGCGGGGCGCCUGUGGGAGCCGUGGAGGGAACUUUCCCAGUCCCCGAGGCGGAUCCGGUGUUGCAUCCUUGGAGCGAGCUGAGAGCUCGAGUACAGAACCUGCUAAGGCCAUCAAACCUAUUGAUCGGAAGUCAGUCCAUCAGAUUUGCUCUGGGCCGGUGGUACCGAGUCUAAGCACUGCGGUGAAGGAGUUAGUAGAAAACAGUCUGGAUGCUGGUGCCACUAAUAUUGAUCUAAAGCUUAAGGACUAUGGAGUGGAUCUCAUUGAAGUUUCAGGCAAUGGAUGUGGGGUAGAAGAAGAAAACUUCGAAGGCUUAACUCUGAAACAUCACACAUCUAAGAUUCAAGAGUUUGCCGACCUACCUCAGGUUGAAACUUUUGGCUUUCGGGGGGAAGCUCUGAGCUCACUUUGUGCACUGAGUGAUGUCACCAUUUCUACCUGCCAUGUAUCGGCGAAGGUUGGGACUCGACUGGUGUUUGAUCACUAUGGGAAAAUCAUCCAGAAAACCCCCUACCCCCACCCCAGAGGGAUGACAGUCAGUGUGAAGCAGUUAUUUUCUACGCUACCUGUGCACCAUAAAGAAUUUCAAAGGAAUAUUAAGAAGGUACAGUAAAUUAAUCCUGGUUUUCAAGAAUAUUGGUUAAUGCACAUGAGCAAAAGAUUUACUAAAGAUGUUUAUUCUUCAGUUGAUUCCCUUCCCCUAAUUUAUUGAGAAAUGCUUUAUUUGCAUUUCUCAUUAAAGACUUAACUUCAGAAUGAUUUACUUUUUUCUUUUUAUCACAUAGUGUUUAUUAGGACUGGGAAACAUAGUGAGACUCUGUCUCUAUGAAAAAUUAAAAAAAAAAUUGACUGGGCAUGGUG